UACGGAGGGUGCAAGCGUUGUCCGGAAUCACUGGGCGUAAAGGGCGCGUAGGCGGCCUGGUAAGGAGGGGGUGAAAUCCUGCGGCUUAACCGCAGGGCUGCCUUCUAAACUGUCAGGCUUGAGCACGGUAGAGGCAGAUGGAAUUCCCGGUGUAGCGGUGGAAUGCGUAGAGAUCGGGAAGAACAUCAGUGGCGAAGGCGGUCUGCUGGGCCGUUGCUGACGCUGAGGCGCGACAGCGUGGGGAGCGAACAGG
rnacentral:rRNA from 1 species